UCUCUUCUUUUUAUUAUGUGUAUUCUUUGUCAAAAACGUUGUCGGAUAUUGCAUAAAUGACAUAAAUUAAGGAGAUUGCAUUAAUAAAACUGCAUCUGCAAAUUAAAACUCAAUGGUCAAUGUGUGGAUGAACUGAAAUCCCAUGAGCUUUAAUAGGACUAUUCUCCAUCACAUAAUUGUGUUGUUAAAAGCCAGGAAUGACAUGCUAACUGUCCAUGCUAGAAGGCCUUCAUCUUGCAUUAUCCAGCAGAUUCAUCAAGACUCUCAAGAGGAUUUGAGAAGUGAACGAGGGUGUGCUUCAGUGGGUACAUGAUGUCAGACAGUGGGCUACUGAGGGAUUCUGUAGGUACCAGAUGUGAUGACCAACAUAACCUUCAGAAAUCAACUGAACAAAUGUUUCUAGCCUUUAUAAUCAGACUGAAUCCAGCAACAUCCUCACCAAGAAGAAGAGUUUGAUGCGUACAUGUCAAAAGUGUGUCUUGAAGAGGAAAGACUGAUUGUGAUGAGGAAGAUGAGACAGCACUGCACCGAGCUCAGAAAUCUGGCUGGGAACAUCAGGACAAUGACAUCAGAAAUGAACUUUUGUUACACCUUCUUGUGUGUGAAGCUUUUGGGGAGACCGGGUUCCUACCCAACCACUGUUAUAUGUCCUUUUUAUGAACAUAGUCUUUUGAUUAAUGUGUAUUUUUUAAUUUUAUUUUUUCUAGGUCAGAAUUUGAAAAAACGUGA